rnacentral:rRNA from 1 species
AGCGUAUAUUAAAGUUGUUGCAGUUAAAAAGCUCGUAGUUGAAUUUCGGGAUUGACGUGACGGUCAUGCCUUAAGGGGUAUGAACUGUUACUGUUGAUUUCUCACCUUCUGGAGAAACUUGAUGUCCUUUAUUGGGUGUCUUGCGGAUCCAGGACCUUUACCUUGAAAAAAUUAGAGUGUUUAAAGCAGGCAUUUUUACUCGAAUACAUUAGCAUGGAAUAAUAGAAUAGGACGGCAUGGUUCUAUUUUGUUGGUUUCUAGGAUCACCGUAAUGAUUAAUAGGGAUAGUUGUGGGCAUUAGUAUUCAAUUGUCAGAGGUGAAAUUCUUGGAUUUAUUGAAGACUAACUACUGCGAAAGCAUUUGCCAAGGAUGUUUUCAUUAAUCAAGAACGAAAGUUAGGGGAUCGAAGACGAUCAGAUACCGUCGUAGUCUUAACCAUAAACUAUGCCGACUAGGGAUCGGAUGAUGUUAAUUUUUUAAUGACUCAUUC